UGAACAGAAAAGAAAGUGAUAGAAAAGUAAAGUUAUCAUCUUCACUGGCCACCUGCAAGAGUCUUUGACAACUUUAAGCAUGGACUUUAGGGGAAAAAAAUCACAAAUGUGGCACUAGCCCUCAAAAACAGGCUUGGCAACAAGAAGACCUUCAAAUAAAAGUUGAAGUGCUAUCCAU